rnacentral:rRNA from 1 species
UACGUAGGCAGCAAGCGUUGUUCGGAGUUACUGGGCGUAAAGGGUGCGUAGGCGGUUCUGUAAGUAUGGUGUGAAAUCUCCCGGCUUAACUGGGAGGGUGCGCUAUAAACUGCGGGGCUAGAGUGUGGGAGAGGAAAGUGGAAUUCCUGGUGUAGCGGUGAAAUGCGUAGAGAUCAUGAGGAAGACCAGUGGCGAAGGCGGGUCUCUGGACAGUUCCUGACACUGAGG